UACGUAGGGUCCGAGCGUUGUCCGGAAUCAUUGGGCGUAAAGAGCGUGUAGGCGGCUUGGUAGGUCACGUGUUAAAGCCUGCGGCUCAACCGCAGAAUCGCACGUGAAACCGUCUGGCUAGAGUCCGGAAGAGGAGAAUGGAAUUCCUGGUGUAGCGGUGAAAUGCGCAGAUAUCAGGAAGAACACCCGUGGCUAAGGCGGUUCUCUAGUACGGUACUGACGCUGAGACGCGAAAGCGUGGGGAGCGAACAGG
rnacentral:rRNA from 1 species